UGUGAAAUUAUUUAAAGCGCAUGUUUGACGUAGAUGUAAACACGGUAUAAACAUUGGCACAAUGACACAGGUCACUCGAACACAGAAGUAUUGCAAGAUGCUGGGACUAUGAGAGUGUAUAAUGGAUCUGCUCUCCUGGUGAGGCACUGCUGGUCCUGGCCAAGGCUAUAUCGGGGAUUUCAAACAUCAGCGAGACACCACAGUUCCACUCAUUAUGACGUACUGGGAAUAAAAACAACGGCCACUCAAAAGGAAGUUAAAAGUGCCUAUAUACAGUCAUCUAAAAAGUACCACCCAGAUGUCUGUAGUGAUCCAAAUGCACAACGUCAGUUCACCAAGAUUGUAGAGGCUUACGAAGUCCUUGGUAGCCCAGAGUCCAGAUUAUCCUAUGACAGCAGUUUUAUCUCCACCUCUUACACAACUACAGGAGCACGAGGUCAUCAUCGGAAAUCCACAUGGGCAGAUUUUCAGAUGGAGGAGAAUAGACAUGAUAAUAGAAGCGGUGUAAGAAAAAAAGAUCUUUUUGACGUGCGUAAAGGGAUAAAAAUGAAGAAAUUACAUGAAGAAGAAGAAUUUGAUUUUGCCAUACGAUCUUAUAUGUCAAUAAUGGAUAUUAUUGUCUUCAUCAUGCUGAUGGUUUUUAUCACAAAUGCCUAUCGUAAACGUCGUGAAAAGCGAAUGAACUUCCUGCUACCUCCAAGGACUUCCGAAGACACAGUGGAAAUAGAGACUAAAAAUGCAUCUAAAGGUUUUUAUGGAACUCAAUAUUGAUAUAUAAAACUCCUCCAGAUGGACCAAUUCUCCGGAUGGACUACUCCAGAUGGACCAAUUCUCCGGAUGGACUACUCCAGAUUGACCAAUUCUCCGGACGGACUACUCCAGAUGGACCAAUUCUCCAGAUGGACCAAUUCUCCGGAUGGACUACUCAAGAUGGACCAAUUCUCCGGAUGGACUACUCCAGAUGGACCAAUUCUCCAGUUAUGUGAUAUCUAUAUACUGUCAAUGUUGAUGAACAUUGUACUGUAAAACAAGUUUUGUAAAUCAGGUCUGGUGAAGGUUGUUUAAAUUAGGACAGUUGUACAUCGUUAUAAGGAUAGUGUUAACAAGGUUACAUAACUCACAUAAAGGUCGGGUACCGUGUGUUAACAAGGUUACAUAAAUCACAUAAAGGUCGGGGACUGUGUGUAAAGUGAGGUCUGAUGAUGGUUACAUAAAUCACAUAAAGGUCGGGUACUGUGUGUUAAAUGAGGUCUGAUGACAGUUACAUAAAUCACAUAAAGGUCGGGUACUGGGUGUAAAGUGAGGUCUGACGACGGUAACAUAAAUCACAUAAA